CAUUGGCGUGGAAUUUCCUUUUUCCUUUUCUUUUUUUUCUCUGUGUUUUUAUUUUGGUCCUACAACGUUACUAUAGACCUUUCCUAGUUUUAAACAUAUUGAAGGAAAUAAUUGUUUAGUCACGUGUCUCUUUAAUAAUGCCAUGUGACUUUUUUGUUGUUAAUUUAUUUAGUUAGUUUUGGACGAAGUUGUCUAGCUCGCGUGGUCGAGCACCGCUACCUGCGUUAGAGUUGCGCGGGUUAUGCUACUUUCAUUUUAUCGAAUAUACAAUUCAGUUGCAGAUUUCAAUACUUGUUUCUCUCUGAAUUUUUCUCUUCUUCUUCUUUUCUACAAAACCCUAGCCUACUCAUCUUUCUUAAUUAAAUGUAACAAGGUUGAAGCCUUAAACUUAACACCGUUAAGAGACAACUUUCCAAUAACCAAACAACCUAAAAUGAAGGAUUAUUAUCAUUGUCCAAUGAGGUAGGAAAGUGAAGCAGGAAGUAAGUUUAUUGGUAAUGGAGAUCAGCAGUACUUUUUAGAUGAUUAUCAGCCAAGCCAAUCUUUGUUAAAUUAUCUGAUUGUCUUUAUUUCUACCUUUAGUGUCAUAAAAGAUGCGAAUGUGUUAAUAGAAAACGCACAUGUCUUAAGUGAUUGAUUAUGACUUGGAUCAUCAACUUCUAAUAGCUAAUGGACUUAUAGAGUUUGGAUUUUCAGGUAAUUAACAUGAUCAUCACCAUCAUUAUUGGUUUCAUGAAAACAGAACAUAGAUUUUAAAACUUCGAAUUUCCAAGGACACCAUAUCAAGGCAAAUAUUUCGAAGGAUUCCUAAAACUUCAGAAAUGUCAAAGUGGAGCCUUGACAGCGGAAGCAACUGAUACAUAGAGUGCUUUCCACAACCAGUUCUGAUAUGCAGAAGAAAUAUGAGCUUCCAUAAUCAAACACUGAGUUGGUGGGCCAUCAGGCGCCAAACUCUCAAGACAAAUGAUUCUGAAGAGAAAAUAAAAUUACCAGAAUGCCAGUUAUUUUAACUGAUGGAUUGACUUGAUUCUGAAGAGAAAAUCUUGUUGAAGGAAGUGGUUGCUAUGACAGAUGAAUCAAAGCGCAACUUUCUGAUGCAUUAGACGUGAGAUUUGGUAAGUGGGAAAUUAUUAUUUUUCAACAAUAUUCUCCAAUGAUAUUAUGAAUGUCAUACAAGCUGUAUAAUUGGAUUAGAAUUUUGCUUUUACAAUAUUUCAAUUCAGAUUUGUAUGGGCAUUGUAGUUUUUUCUUAAAUCAUACCAAAAAUUUCUUUUAUGUAUCUAUACAAAAUGAUUUAGCUUUGUUA